ACAUCUUCUUUAUUUUCACUUUUUAUUAUUAUUUCAUCUUUUCCUUCUUCUUCUUCAGCUGCAGAUUUUUCAUGAGAAGUCGAU
rnacentral:ribozyme from 14 species